AUUUCAAUGUCUAACAUUCGCGUAAACAUAAGAAAUCAUUAUACUGUUUAAAUAAUUCAAGAAACAUAAGUAAAAGUCAAGGAGUGACUUUUCAUCAGUAAGUAAAACACGUUAUGUUAAAAACACGCUUAAUUUAAUUAUAUUUUAUCAAUUUAUUGUAACACGGCGACGAAUCACCACGGCAGCGCCCGGGCCGCCAUGUUUAUGUCGAUGUCAAAGAGUAAGAAUAUUUUUAUGCGCAGAAUUGACACUAUUGACGUUUAAUGUUAAAUAAUUAUAGAUAGAAAAAUAUUAAUAAUAUAUAAUCACGAUCGGAAAUGUAAAUGUAACAAAAUUAAUGUUUUUUAUUAUAAUUUGAAAUUAAAGGUUUCCUCGGCCGUGUCAUGAAACAAAAGAAUCAUGGAUCAAAAUUGUUCAGAAGAAUCGUAGCGAAGAAACGUGGUUACCGUCAGCUUAUUCACGCAUAUGUUCCGUGCAUUUACACCACAAAUACAGGAAGAGUGUAUUUAAAAAAAUCUGCAGUACCAUGCGAUAACCCAACAAAAUGCGGUGAACAGGAAGUAUUCGAACCGUUGUGUGAAUCAGUAAGCAGUACAAAUUCAAUUUUUGACACUCCGA